ACGAUCACCUUCAUACUAAUAAAUUAUUUUCAAUGAUAAAACUUCCGAAUCAACGAUAUCCAGACUGUUAAACAUUCACUACAACAGAAUUAGGUUAUAGGGACACAUGUUUGGGCACUUGUGUAAGUGUCAUAUUUAUGCCAAAACUUAAAAAGAAAACUACUAAUGCCUAAAUAUAAAGUCUAAUCCAAUCAAAAAUAAAAGGGUACUCUGUUCAACCCAUCUCACCCAGCCCAUUCGGCCUGAUUACACACAGAAAAGAAAAAUAAAAGAAAAAGAAAAGAAAAUUCGAUUACUAUUUUUCCUUCUCCUCUCACUCAAUCGACUGAAAAUCUAGACGAAGAUCCCUUCCUCUUGUCCUCCUCCGCCACCGCAGCCAACGAGGUAGAGUUCCGGUGGUUGCUAGAUGCUUAAAUAAAUGUUGGUAAAUUAGCAGCACUCUUUUAGAUUAUAGCGAUACUCUUUAACUGUCACUAUAUACCUAGCGACCCUACAUAUAGCAACACUUUUUAAAAGUGUCGGUAAUUUAGCCAGCAGCACUUCUUUUGACUUAUACCGACAUUUAAAAGUGUCGCUAUAGACCGUUUUUGUUGUAGUGAUUAUCUAGAGCAUUUAAAACUUCUAGAAAUCAAAUUUUAUAAUUUUUCGAUAUCAUUUACCUUACGAUCAAAAGCUCACAAAAUUGACAAUUUUUAACGGCCGAUAUAUGAUACUUGCUAGUUUAAUGGUGUAAAAGAAUCAGAGGAGAAUAGGUUUAAUUUUUGGCAGAAAACUCUAUUCACUGUGUAGAUAAAGAUCAAUAACCCCGAUCUUAAAUUGAAGGAUCCGAUCAUCCGUUUUUAGGGUGUCGUUCGAUUUUGACUGUUCAUUUUAUACCUGCUUGAUGGACAUUAUAAUGAUUUCGAAAAAUUACAAAAUUUACUUUUUAGAAGUUUUAAAUAUUUUAGAUCAUGUUUAACAGUGUGGAUCGUCGAUUUGGAAGCCCCAACAUCAAAAACAACUUAUGAGUACGAAGGACUCUAUACUCAUAAG
rnacentral:lncRNA from 1 species